rnacentral:rRNA from 2 species
UGCCCUACGGGUGGCAGCAGUGGGGAAUAUUGGACAAUGGGCGCAAGCCUGAUCCAGCCAUGCCGCGUGAGUGAUGAAGGCCUUAGGGUUGUAAAGCUCUUUCGCCAGGGACGAUAAUGACGGUACCUGGAUAAGAAGCCCCGGCUAACUUCGUGCCAGCAGCCGCGGUAAUACGAAGGGGGCUAGCGUUGUUCGGAAUUACUGGGCGUAAAGCGUAUGCAGGCGGAUCGUUAAGUCGGGGGUGAAAUCCCGAGGCUCAACCGCGGAACUGCCUUCGAUACUGGCGAUCUUGAGUCCGGGAGAGGUGAGUGGAACUCCGAGUGUAGAGGUGAAAUUCGUAGAUAUUCGGAAGAACACCAGUGGCGAAGGCGGCUCACUGGCCCGGUACUGACGCUGAGAUACGAAAGCGUGGGGAGCAAACAGGAUUAGAUACCCCGGUAGUCUG